rnacentral:rRNA from 1 species
UGGGGAAUAUUGGACAAUGGGCGCAAGCCUGAUCCAGCCAUGCCGCGUGAGUGAUGAAGGCCUUAGGUUGUAAAGCUCUUUCGCCGGUGAAGAUAAUGACGGUAACCGGAGAAGAAGCCCCGGCUAACUUCGUGCCAGCAGCCGCGGUAAUACGAAGGGGGCUAGCGUUGCUCGGAAUCACUGGGCGUAAAGCGCACGUAGGCGGAUCGUUAAGUCAGGGGUGAAAUCCUGGAGCUCAACUCCAGAACUGCCCUUGAUACUGGCGAUCUCGAGUUCGAGAGAGGUUGGUGGAGCUCCGAGUGUAGAGGUGAAAUUCGUAGAUAUUCGGAAGAACACCAGUGCGAAGGCGGCCAACUGGCUCGAUACUGACGCUG